rnacentral:rRNA from 1 species
GACGAACGCUGGCGGCGUGCUUAAUACAUGCAAGUCGAACGGAAAGGCCCUGCGUUUGUGGGGUGCUCGAGUGGCGAACGGGGGAGUAACACGUGAGGAACCUGCCCUUGACUUUGGGGUAACUUCAGGAAACUGGGGCUAAUACCGGAUAGGAGCUCCUGCUCCAUGGGGGGGGUUGGAAAGUUUCGGCGGUUGGGGAUGGACUGGCGGCUUAUCAGCUUGUUGGUGGGGGAGGGGCUGACCAAGGCUUUGACGGGUAGCCGGCCUGAGAGGGUGACCGGCCACAUUGGGCCUGCGGUAGGCCGCAGUCUCCUACCGUCGGCAGUGGGCGGAAGCCUGGCGCAAUGGGCCGGAGUCUGUUGCAGCGGUCCUGCGUGCGUGAUGCCGUCCUUCGGGUGGUGAACCGCUUUCGCCUGUGACGAAGCGUGAGUGACGGUACUGGGUAAAGAAGCACCGGCUAACUACGUG